GACAGCUUGGCCGAGUGGUUGAGGCGAUAGACUAGAAAUCUAUUGGGGUGGGCCGCGUGAGUUCAAAUCUCACAGCUGUCG
rfam:Phytophthora infestans T30-4 supercont1.81 genomic scaffold, whole genome shotgun sequence.